UAGGGAAUCUUCGGCAAUGGACGAAAGUCUGACCGAGCAACGCCGCGUGAGUGAAGAAGGUUUUCGGAUCGUAAAACUCUGUUGUUAGAGAAGAACAAGGACGUUAGUAACUGAACGUCCCCUGACGGUAUCUAACCAGAAAGCCACGGCUAACUACGUGCCAGCAGCCGCGGUAAUACGUAGGUGGCAAGCGUUGUCCGGAUUUAUUGGGCGUAAAGCGAGCGCAGGCGGUUUCUUAAGUCUGAUGUGAAAGCCCCCGGCUCAACCGGGGAGGGUCAUUGGAAACUGGGAGACUUGAGUGCAGAAGAGGAGAGUGGAAUUCCAUGUGUAGCGGUGAAAUGCGUAGAUAUAUGGAGGAACACCAGUGGCGAAGGCGGCUCUCUAGUCUGUAACUGACGCUUAGGCUCGAAAGCGUGGGGAGCAAACAGG
rnacentral:rRNA from 1 species